CCGACACGGGGAGGUAGUGACGAAAAAUAACAAUACAGGACUCUAACGAGGCCCUGUAAUUGGAAUGAGUACAUUCUAAAACUCUUAACGAGUAUCCAUUGGAGGGCAAGUCUGGUGCCAGCAGCCGCGGUAAUUCCAGCUCCAACAGUGUAUGCUAAAGUUGUUGCGGUUGAAAAGCUCGUAGUUGGACUUUGGGCGGGUGCAGCCGGUCCGUCGCAGGGCGUGUUACUGGCUGCGCUCGCCUCGACUUCGGUUCUCCGUCGGUUCUCUUGACUGAGUGUCGGCGGUGGCCGAGAAGUUUACUUUGAAAAAAUUAGAGUGUUCAAAGCAGGUUCGAAUCCUGAAUAGUGUUGCAUGGAAUAAUGGAAUAGGACCUCGGUUCUAUUUUGUUGGUUUUCGGAGCGCGAGGUAAUGAUUAAGAGGGACAGACGGGGGCGUCCGUACUCUGCCGUUAGAGGUGAAAUUCUUGGAUCGGCGGAAGACGAACUACUGCGAAAGCAUUCGCCAAGAAUGUUUUCUUUAAUCAAGAGCGAAAGUCAGAGGUUCGAAGACGAUCAGAUACCGUCCUAGUUCUGACUAUAAACGAUGCCAACUAGCGAUCGGGAGGCGUUACCAUGACGACCUUCCCGGCAGCUUCCGGGAAACCAAAGUCUUUGGGUUCCGGGGGAAGUAUGGUUGCAAAGCUGAAACUUAAAGGAAUUGACGGAAGGGCACCACCAGGAGUGGAGCCUGCGGCUUAAUUUGACUCAACACGGGGAAACUCACCCGGCCCGGACACAGGUAGGAU
rnacentral:rRNA from 1 species